GUCCACGCCCUAAACGAUGUUAACUCGAUAUUUAUUCUUCGGAGUGAGUGUCCAAGCGAAAGCGUUAAGUUAACCACCUGGGGAGUACGUUCGCAAGAAUGAAACUCAAAGGAAUUGACGGGGGUCCGCACAAGCGGUGUAGCAUGUGGUUUAAUUCGAUGAUACGCGAGGAACCUUACCUAGGCUAGAAUGCGAGUGCCGAUUCCUGAAAGGGAAUUUUCCUUCGGGACACAAAGCAAGGUGCUGCAUGGCUGUCGU
rnacentral:rRNA from 1 species